rnacentral:rRNA from 1 species
AGUGAACGCUGGCGGUAGGCCUAACACAUGCAAGUCGAACGGCAGCACAGUAAGAGCUUGCUCUUACGGGUGGCGAGUGGCGGACGGGUGAGGAAUACAUCGGAAUCUACUUUUUCGUGGGGGAUAACGUAGGGAAACUUACGCUAAUACCGCAUACGACCUACGGGUGAAAGCAGGGGAUCUUCGGACCUUUCGCGAUUGAAUGAGCCGAUGUCGGAUUAGCUAGUUGGCGGGGUAAAGGCCCACCAAGGCGACGAUCCGUAGCUGGUCUGAGAGGAUGAUCGGCCACACUGGAACUGAGACACGGUCCAGACUCCUACGGGAGGCAGCAGUGGGGAAUAUUGGACAAUGGGCGCAAGCCUGAUCCAGCCAUACCGCGUGGGUGAAGAAGGCCUUCGGGUUGUAAAGCCCUUUUGUUGGGAAAGAAAAGCAGCAGGUUAAUACCACGCUGUUCUGACGGUACCCAAAGAAUAAGCACCGGCUAACUUCGUG